rnacentral:rRNA from 1 species
UUAAGCAUAUCAAUAAGCGGAGGAAAAGAAACCAACAGGGAUUGCCUCAGUAACGGCGAGUGAAGCGGCAAGAGCUCAAAUUUGAAAGCUGGCCCCCUCGGGGUCCGCAUUGUAAUUUGCAGAGGAUGCUUCGGGAGUGGCCCCCAUCUAAGUGCCCUGGAACGGGCCGUCAUAGAGGGUGAGAAUCCCGUCUGGGAUGGGGUGCCCACGCCCGUGUGAAGCUCCUUCGACGAGUCGAGUUGUUUGGGAAUGCAGCUCUAAAUGGGUGGUAAAUUUCAUCUAAAGCUAAAUACUGGCCGGAGACCGAUAGCGCACAAGUAGAGUGAUCGAAAGAUGAAAAGCACUUUGAAAAGAGAGUUAAACAGCACGUGAAAUUGUUGAAAGGGAAGCGCUUGCGACCAGACUCGCCCACGGGGUUCAGCCGGCAUUCGUGCCGGUGUACUUCCCCGCGGGCGGGCCAGCGUCGGUUUGGGCGGCCGGUCAAAGGCCCUCGGAAUGUAACGCCCCCCGGGGCGUCUUAUAGCCGAGGGUGCCAUGCGGCCAGCCCGGACCGAGGAACGCGCUUCGGCUCGGACGCUGGCAUAAUGGUCGUAAGCGACCCGUCUUGAAACACGGACCAAGGAGUCUAACAUCUACGCGAGUGUUCGGGUGUCAAACCCGUGCGCGCAGUGAAAGCGAACGGAGGUGGGAACCCCUCGGGGCGCACCAUCGACCGAUCCUGAUGUCUUCGGAUGGAUUUGAGUAAGAGCGUAGCUGUUGGGACCCGAAAGAUGGUGAACUAUGCCUGAAUAGGGCGAAGCCAGAGGAAACUCUGGUGGAGGCUCGCAGCGGUUCUGACGUGCAAAUCGAUCGUCAAAUUUGGGUAUAGGGGCGAAAGACUAAUCGAACCAUCUAGUAGCUGGUUCCUGCCGAAGU